GAUGAACGCUGGCGGCGUGCCUAAUACAUGCAAGUCGAGCGAACGGACGAGAAGCUUGCUUCUCUGAUGUUAGCGGCGGACGGGUGAGUAACACGUGGAUAACCUACCUAUAAGACUGGGAUAACUUCGGGAAACCGGAGCUACUACCGGAUAAUAUUUUGAACCGCAUGGUUCAAAAGUGAAAGACGGUCUUGCUGUCACUUAUAGAUGGAUCCGCGCUGCAUUAGCUAGUUGGUAAGGUAACGGCUUACCAAGGCAACGAUGCAUAGCCGACCUGAGAGGGUGAUCGGCCACACUGGAACUGAGACACGGUCCAGACUCCUACGGGAGGCAGCAGUAGGGAAUCUUCCGCAAUGGGCGAAAGCCUGACGGAGCAACGCCGCGUGAGUGAUGAAGGUCUUCGGAUCGUAAAACUCUGUUAUUAGGGAAGAACAUAUGUGUAAGUAACUGUGCACAUCUUGACGGUACCUAAUCAGAAAGCCACGGCUAACUACGUGCCAGCAGCCGCGGUAAUACGUAGGUGGCAAGCGUUAUCCGGAAUUAUUGGGCGUAAAGCGCGCGUAGGCGGUUUUUUAAGUCUGAUGUGAAAGCCCACGGCUCAACCGUGGAGGGUCAUUGGAAACUGGAAAACUUGAGUGCAGAAGAGGAAAGUGGAAUUCCAUGUGUAGCGGUGAAAUGCGCAGAGAUAUGGAGGAACACCAGUGGCGAAGGCGACUUUCUGGUCUGUAACUGACGCUGAUGUGCGAAAGCGUGGGGAUCAAACAGGAUUAGAUACCCUGGUAGUCCACGCCGUAAACGAUGAGUGCUAAGUGUUAGGGGGUUUCCGCCCCUUAGUGCUGCAGCUAACGCAUUAAGCACUCCGCCUGGGGAGUACGACCGCAAGGUUGAAACUCAAAGGAAUUGACGGGGACCCGCACAAGCGGUGGAGCAUGUGGUUUAAUUCGAAGCAACGCGAAGAACCUUACCAAAUCUUGACAUCCUUUGACAACUCUAGAGAUAGAGCCUUCCCCUUCGGGGGACAAAGUGACAGGUGGUGCAUGGUUGUCGUCAGCUCGUGUCGUGAGAUGUUGGGUUAAGUCCCGCAACGAGCGCAACCCUUAAGCUUAGUUGCCAUCAUUAAGUUGGGCACUCUAAGUUGACUGCCGGUGACAAACCGGAGGAAGGUGGGGAUGACGUCAAAUCAUCAUGCCCCUUAUGAUUUGGGCUACACACGUGCUACAAUGGACAAUACAAAGGGCAGCGAAACCGCGAGGUCAAGCAAAUCCCAUAAAGUUGUUCUCAGUUCGGAUUGUAGUCUGCAACUCGACUACAUGAAGCUGGAAUCGCUAGUAAUCGUAGAUCAGCAUGCUACGGUGAAUACGUUCCCGGGUCU
rnacentral:rRNA from 1 species